GAAGGCCUGUAUAAUUUUAAUAUACAUCUCCUGAAUGCAACUCAAACACUUUAACUAAGCUAANKACCUCCUAUAUCGAUGG
rnacentral:tRNA from 1 species